rnacentral:rRNA from 1 species
AUACGGAGGGUGCAAGCGUUGUCCGGAUUUAUUGGGUUUAAAGGGUGCGUAGGUGGUUUUUUAAGUCAGUGGUGAAAGCCUACAGCUUAACUGUAGAGGUGCCAUUGAUACUGGGGUACUUGAGUAUGAACGAGGUAGGCGGAAUUUGUGGUGUAGCGGUGAAAUGCAUAGAUACCACAAGGAACACCGAUAGCGAAGGCAGCUUACUGGGCCAUAACUGACACUGAGGCACGAAAGCGUGGGGAGCAAACAGAAUUAGAAACCCCAGUAGUCC